GCAACGACAGAGGCUCGCGCUUUACGGCACGCGGGAACGACGGCGCCCCACAGCCCACGAUCUUUGAAUCUGGACUAAAACAAGACAAUGGCCAAAAGAAAAUCGAAGACGACAGCAGAGUUCAAACCCCCUAAGAGAGCAAAACGACAGAAAAGCACUGAAGCAACAAACCAGUCUGAAGAUGAAAAUCAG